CGACUCCACCCCUACCGACUUCCGCUGGGUUUACGCUUCCAUCGAACCGGACUCCGGACACGUUGCCUCUGCUCUCCCUUUCGACUGCUCUAGACCCUUCUCCCCCGCCGCUUCCACCCCCAGAGCAGCGCCGGUGGCAGCCAUGAACGCGAUUCGGUCGGCCCUCGCGAGGGCGCUCUCCGCCCCGAAGCCCCGGCCGCUGCUAGCGCGCCACUACGCCUCCGUCGGCGGCACGCAGCCGGAGAGGGUGGCGGCGGAGAUGGUCCGCUACGCCCUCGGCGGCGCACGGCAUCAGAGCCCGUCAGAGGACGCGAUGCGGAUACUGGAGCAGGGGGCGUCGAACCUGCAGGGCGGCGGCGAGGGCGCCGCCGAGGCCGUGAGCAUGCUCAUGCUCGCCAUGUCCACGCUGCUCUACAGGAGUGGAAGACGUGAAGAUGCAAUGGAAAAGCUCAAAGCAACCCAGCAAGUCGCUCCUUCUGCAGCUUUCAGAGUUGCUGCAUGGGAAGCACUAAUGGGAAUACGCAUGGAAGCAAGCCAGGAUGUCUCCUCAUCGAUGUCCCCGAAUGAUUCGGUUGAUUUGUCAAUCAAAGAAGAAGAAAUCAAAUGGUCUGAUCAGGACCAUCUGAAAUUUCGGGUUGAUGCAAUCAAAGGACUUGCUGCUCUUCUAAAUGGAGAGAUAGACUCAGCCCAGACGCUCUUUGGUGGGCCCAACAGUUGCUAUGCUGCAGUAGGCAAUAACCAAACAGAAAAUGCCGUCUUUACAUAUGGUGAAUAUCUGCACUGUACUGGGGAUUUUCCUUUGGCAACACAAAUGUAUGAAAAGGUUCUUGAGGCAGCAAGCAGAGAAGAUAUAUCUGGAAAUCUGUUAGCUGCUGGAAACAUGGCCCCUGAGGAGGUUUCUCUGGGUGCCACUUGCUCAUACGGCCAGCUUUUAUCUCAUUCUGGGAAGUUUGAUGAGGCAGAGGACUAUCUCACAAGAGCACUACAGAAGGCUGAAGAACAAUUCGGUUCAAAUCACCCAAAGGUUGGUAUGGUAUUGACUUGUGUAGCAAGAAUGUAUAAACUGAAAGCAAAAUCUGAAGGUUCUAGUUCAAUAAUGGUUCAGGAGGGGCUAUACAGGAAGGCUCUAGAAGUAUUGAAAGCACCUGCCAUCAACUCUGAGGACACAAGAAGGCAGGUCGAUUGGAGAGAUAUCAUUUCACUUGCUAGAGGCGAGUAUGCCGAACUGUUGCUUAUCCAGUCGAAUAGGAAGGCAGAAGGUGAGCGAAUGAAGGAGUGGGCAGAGGAUGCCUGGAAGAAUCAUAGGUUAACAUUAGCCCAAGCGUUGGAGUUUUCAGAAGCUUCAAAGCCUACAGUGGUUGAUACCCGCAUCGGCAGGGUCAUAUAGCUUCCAUGACAGUCUGAGGACAAAGACACAAGAAGGCAGGUCGAUUGGAGAGAUAUCAUUUCACUUGCUAGUGGCGAGUAUGCCGAACUGUUGCUUAUCCAGUCGAAUAGGAAGGCAGAAGGUGAGCGAAUGAAGGAGUGGGCAGAGGAUGCCUGGAAGAAUCAUAGGUUAACAUUAGCCCAAGCGUUGGAGUUUUCAGAAGCUUCAAAGCCUACAGUGGUUGAUACCCGCAUCGGCGGGGUCAUAUAGCUUCCAUGACAGUCUGAGGAAAGGUACUGUACAAUAAUCUGCGAACACAACAAUAAUGUAAUAUAGGUUCUCCAUGGAUUGCCUACGCGCUGCA